UACGGAAGGCAGCAGUGGGGAAUAUUGCACAAUGGGCGAAAGCCUGAUGCAGCUAUGCCGCGUGUAUGAAGAAGGCCUUAGGGUUGUAAAGUACUUUCAUCGGGGAGGAAAAACAAAACUAAUAAUUUUAUUUCUUGACGUUACCCGAAAAAGAAGCACCGGCUAACUCCGUGCCAGCAGCCGCGGUAAUACGGAGGGUGCUAGCGUUAAUCAGAAUUACUGGGCGUAAAGAGCACGUAGGUGGUUUUUUUAAAGUCAGAUGUGAAAUCCCUGGGCUUAACCUAGGAACUGCAUUUUGAAACUGAAAUACUAGAGUAUCGUAGAGGGAGGUAGAAUUCUAGGUGUAGCGGUGAAAUGCGUAGAUAUCUGGAGGAAUACCUGUGGCGAAAGCGGCCUCCUAAACGAAUACUGACACUGAGGUGCGAAAGCGUGGGGAGCAAACCAGGGAUUAGAUAC
rnacentral:rRNA from 1 species